GUGGGGAAUCUUGCGCAAUGGGCGAAAGCCUGACGCAGCCAUGCCGCGUGGAUGAUGAAGGUCUUAGGAUUGUAAAAUCCUUUCACCGGUGAAGAUAAUGACUGUAGCCGGAGAAGAAGCCCCGGCUAACUUCGUGCCAGCAGCCGCGGUAAUACGAAGGGGGCUAGCGUUGCUCGGAAUUACUGGGCGUAAAGGGAGCGUAGGCGGACAUUUAAGUCAGGGGUGAAAUCCCGAGGCUCAACCUCGGAACUGCCUUUGAUACUGGGUGUCUUGAGUGUGAGAGAGGUGAGUGGAACUCCGAGUGUAGAGGUGAAAUUCGUAGAUAUUCGGAAGAACACCAGUGGCGAAGGCGACUCACUGGCUCAUUACUGACGCUGAGGCUCGAAAGCGUGGGGAGCAAACAGGAUUAGAAACCGGGUAGUCC
rnacentral:rRNA from 1 species